rnacentral:rRNA from 1 species
AUACGUAGGGGGCAAGCGUUAUCCGGAUUUACUGGGUGUAAAGGGAGCGCAGACGGCAGAGCAAGUCUGAAGUGAAAACCCGCGGCUCAACUGCGGGAUUGCUUUGGAAACUGCCCGGCUGGAGUAUCGGAGGGGCAAGCGGAAUUCCUGGUGUAGCGGUGAAAUGCGUAGAUAUCAGGAGGAACACCGGUGGCGAAGGCGGCUUGCUGGUCGAUAACUGACGUUGAGGCUCGAAAGCGUGGGGAGCAAACAGGAUUAGAUCCCCUGGUAGUCCACGCCGUAAACGAUGAAUACUAGGUGUCGGGUACUAAGAGUAUUCGGUGCCGGCGCAAACGCAAUAAGUAUUCCACCUGGGGAGUACGUUCGCAAGAAUGAAACUCAAAUGAAUUGGCGGGG